rnacentral:rRNA from 1 species
UACGUAGGGUGCGAGCGUUGUCCGGAAUUAUUGGGCGUAAAGAGCUCGUAGGCGGUUUGUCGCGUCGACUGUGAAAACCCGAGGCUUAACCUCGGGCCUGCAGUCGAUACGGGCAGACUAGAGUUCGGUAGGGGAGACUGGAAUUCCUGGUGUAGCGGUGAAAUGCGUAGAUAUCGUAAGGAAGACCAGUGGCGAAGGCGGGUCUCUGGACAGUUUCCUGACGCUGAGGCACGAAGGUCAGGGGAGCAAACGGG